rnacentral:rRNA from 1 species
GGGUUGUACCCCAAUUGCGAAGAUGGCAACACAAAGCUCGGUACCGUACUGGAAUUGCUGCAGUGGAAGGCAGAGAAUGCUGUGCCUGACAAAGGAUUUGGGAAGCUAUUGAAAAUAUUGAAGAAGAAGCUUCCAAAGGAUAACAAAUUGCCCGACAGUACAUACGCAGCAAAGAAGGUCGUAUGCCCUCUAGGAUUGGAGGUGCAGAAGAUAAAUGCAUGCCCUAAUGACUGCAUCCUCUACCGCGGUGCGUACAAGGAUCUGAACGCAUGCCAGGUCUGCGGUGCAUUGCGGUAUAAGAUCAGACGAGAUGACCUUGGUGAUGUUGACGGCGAGCCCCCCAGGAAGAGGGUUCCUGCGAAGGUGAUGUGGUAUGAUCCUAUAAUACCAUGGUUGAAACGUCUGUUCAGAAACGAAGAGCAU